rnacentral:rRNA from 1 species
UACGAAGGGGGCUAGCGUUGCUCGGAAUCACUGGGCGUAAAGGGUGCGUAGGCGGGUCUUUAAGUCAGAGGUGAAAUCCUGGAGCUCAACUCCAGAACUGCCUUUGAUACUGAGGAUCUUGAGUACGGGAGAGGUGAGUGGAACUGCGAGUGUAGAGGUGAAAUUCGUAGAUAUUCGCAAGAACACCAGUGGCGAAGGCGGCUCACUGGCCCGUUACUGACGCUGAGACACGAAAGCGUGGGGAGCAAACAGG